GUGCCAGCAGCGGCGGUAAUACGAAGGGGGCAAGCGUUGUUCGGAUUUACUGGGCGUAAAGCGUACGUAGGCGGAUCAUUAAGUCAGGGGUGAAAUCCCGGGGCUCAACCUCGGAACUGCCUUUGAUACUGGUGAUCUUGAGUCCGGGAGAGGUGAGUGGAACUCCUAGUGUAGAGGUGAAAUUCGUAGAUAUUAGGAAGAACACCAGUGGCGAAGGCGGCUCACUGGCCCGGAACUGACGCUGAGGUACGAAAGCGUGGGGAGCAAACAGGAUUAGAUACCCUGGUAGUCCACGCCGUAAACGAUGGAUGCUAGCCGUCGGGAGCUUGCUCGUUCGGUGGCGCGAGCUAACGCA
rnacentral:rRNA from 1 species